rnacentral:rRNA from 1 species
AAACCAACAGGGAUUGCCUUAGUAGCGGCGAGUGAAGCGGCAAAAGCUCAAAUUUGAAAUCUGGCACUUUCAGUGUCCGAGUUGUAAUUUGAAGAAGGUAUCUUUGGGUCUGGCUCUUGUCUAUGUUUCUUGGAACAGAACGUCACAGAGGGUGAGAAUCCCGUGCGAUGAGAUGUCCCAGACCUAUGUAAAGUUCCUUCGAAGAGUCGAGUUGUUUGGGAAUGCAGCUCUAAGUGGGUGGUAAAUUCCAUCUAAAGCUAAAUAUUGGCGAGAGACCGAUAGCGAACAAGUACAGUGAUGGAAAGAUGAAAAGAACUUUGAAAAGAGAGUGAAAAAGUACGUGAAAUUGUUGAAAGGGAAGGGCUUGAGAUCAGACUUGGUAUUUUGUAUGUUACUCUCUCGGGGGUGGCCUCUACAGUUUACCGGGCCAGCAUCAGUUUGAGCGGUAGGAUAAGUGCAAAGAAAUGUGGCACUGCUUCGGUAGUGUGUUAUAGUCUUUGUCGAUACUGCCAGCUUAGACUGAGGACUGCGGCUUCGGCCUAGGAUGUUGGCAUAAUGAUCUUAAGUCGCCCGUCUUGAAACACGGACCA